AUUGAACGCUGGCGGCAUGCCUUACACAUGCAAGUCGAACGGUAACAGGUCUUCGGAUGCUGACGAGUGGCGAACGGGUGAGUAAUACAUCGGAACGUGCCCGAGAGUGGGGGAUAACGAAGCGAAAGCUUUGCUAAUACCGCAUACGAUCUCAGGAUGAAAGCAGGGGACCGCAAGGCCUUGCGCUCACGGAGCGGCCGAUGGCAGAUUAGGUAGUUGGUGGGAUAAAAGCUUACCAAGCCGACGAUCUGUAGCUGGUCUGAGAGGACGACCAUCCACACUGGGACUGAGACACGGCCCAGACUCCUACGGGAGGCAGCAGUGGGGAAUUUUGGACAAUGGGCGCAAGCCUGAUCCAGCCAUGCCGCGUGCAGGAUGAAGGCCUUCGGGCUGUAAACUGCUUUUGUACGGAACGAAAAGACUCUGGUUAAUACCUGGGGUCCAUGACGGUACCGUAAGAAUAAGCACCGGCUAACUACGUGCCAGCCGCCGCCGUAA
rnacentral:rRNA from 1 species